rnacentral:rRNA from 1 species
CCUACGAGAGUCAGCAGUGAGGAAUAUUGGUCAAUGGGCGCGAGCCUGAACCAGCCAAGUCGCGUGAGGGCAGACGGCCCUACGGGUUGUCAACCUCUUUUGCCGGGGAGCAACGGGCGCCACGUGUGGCGCCACUGAGAUUACCCGGAGAAAAAGCAUCGGCUAACUCCGUGCCAGCAGCCGCGGUAAUACGGGGGAUGCGAGCUUUAUCCGGAUUUAUUGGGUUAAAAGGGUGCGUAGGCGGAGCGUUAAGUCAGUGGCAAAAUGGAGGGGCUCAACCCCUUCCCGCCAUUGAAACUGGCGCUCUUGAGUGGAAGAGAAGUAUGCGGAAUGCGUGGUGUAGCGGUGAAAUGCAUAGAUAUCACGCAGAACCCCGAUUGCGAAGGCAGCAUGCCGGCUUCCUACUGACGCUGAAGCACGAAAGCGUGGGGAUCGAACAGGAUUAGAUACCCUUGUAGUC